rnacentral:rRNA from 1 species
AUUGAACGCUGGCGGCAGGCCUAACACAUGCAAGUCGAGCGGAAACGAGAAGUAGCUUGCUACUUCGGCGUCGAGCGGCGGACGGGUGAGUAAUGCCUAGGAAAUUGCCCUGAUGUGGGGGAUAACCAUUGGAAACGAUGGCUAAUACCGCAUAAUGCCUUUGUUUGUAAUGAACAGGAGCCAAAGAGGGGGACCUUCGGGCCUCUCGCGUCAGGAUAUGCCUAGGUGGGAUUAGCUAGUUGGUGAGGUAAUGGCUCACCAAGGCGACGAUCCCUAGCUGGUCCGAGAGGAUGAUCAGCCACACUGGAACUGAGACACGGUCCAGACUCCUACGGGAGGCAGCAGUGGGGAAUAUUGCACAAUGGGCGCAAGCCUGAUGCAGCCAUGCCGCGUGUAUGAAGAAGGCC